rnacentral:rRNA from 1 species
CGAACGGGUCGAGGUAACACGUGGGCAACCUGCCCAAAGAGGGGGAUAACACUUGGAAACAGGUGCUAAUACCGCAUAACCAUAGUUACCGCAUGGUAGCUAUGUAAAAGGUGGCUAUGCUACCGCUUUUGGAUGGGCCCGCGGCGCAUUAGCUAGUUGGUGGGGUAAAGGCUUACCAAGGCAAUGAUGCGUAGCCGAACUGAGAGGUUGAUCGGCCACAUUGGGACUGAGACACGGCCCAAACUCCUACGGGAGGCAGCAG